CAUUCCGAUAUAACUAGUUAAUGUCUCCAGGUUCAUGCGUCUAAAUAUGAGAGUACCGUUAUUUAAAAAAGAUUGACUCUUCUGUCCAAAUCAGCUUCCCAUGUCAUCCAUAUGUCACAUUUGUAGGAGAUCAUUAUUAAUAGCUAAGAUCAAUUCUUUUAAAGUGAGUGCUAUCUUGUAUAGAGUGUGGUCACCAUUCCAUAAUCCACCAUCAAUCACUGUGAAUUAUAAUGCCUUCAGUCUGUCUGGAAAUACAUUGUUUCAUAACCAGAAAGUUGCUUUAAGGAGUUCUGCAGUAUAUCACAACAGUUUAUCAAGAAUGGCAGUGGAGUGUAAGGAUAUGAAAUACCUUGGAGUUGAAGAUAAUCUACCUCCUAGUCCAAAGCUCCCGCAGGACGACGGGGGAUAGCAGUGAGCAGUGUAUGAACAAGGGACUAUUGAGACGACCGAACGAAACCCCAGCGCACGACCUUUUUCUGUAUACACUUAACCUAAAUAAACCUCAAAUACA
rnacentral:sRNA from 1 species